rnacentral:misc_RNA from 1 species
UUAUUAAAUUUUUUGUUUAACAAGACUUUUAAUAUAUUUGAGUUUAAACCUUUGGUAGGUACACGCCCGUUUUCACCGACGGUGACCUAAAUCAACGUCCUACCAAAGCAAUAGGUAUAACAGCAAAGUGUGAGAGUAUCGUGCAAAGCACAACCUCGAUAAUGAUCCUUCCGCAGGUUCACCUACGGAAA